rnacentral:rRNA from 1 species
CCUACGGGCGGCAGCAGUGGGGAAUAUUGGACAAUGGGGGGAACCCUGAUCCAGCCAUGCCGCGUGUGUGAAGAAGGCCCUCGGGUUGUAAAGCACUUUCAGUGAGGAAGAACGCCUGGUGGUUAAUACCCAUCAGGAAAGACAUCACUCACAGAAGAAGCACCGGCUAACUCCGUGCCAGCAGCCGCGGUAAUACGGAGGGUGCGAGCGUUAAUCGGAAUUACUGGGCGUAAAGCGCGCGUAGGUGGCUUGAUAAGCCGGUUGUGAAAGCCCCGGGCUCAACCUGGGAACGGCAUCCGGAACUGUCAAGCUAGAGUGCAGGAGAGGAAGGUAGAAUUCCCGGUGUAGCGGUGAAAUGCGUAGAGAUCGGGAGGAAUACCAGUGGCAAAGGCGGCCUUCUGGACUGACACUGACACUGAGGUGCGAAAGCGUGGGUAGCAAACAGGAUUAGAUACCCGGGUAGUC